UCCCUUGAACUCUCUAUCCUUCCUGCAAAACUAAUCCAGUCAUGCCAAUUAUAGUUGUUUAAGAUAAAUAUAAUC
rnacentral:rRNA from 1 species